UAUUUAAUUUUCUUUGAUUACAGUUUUUUAAAUGUAAAAUUAUUUGUCACAACCAUUUCGCAUUUAAUUUUACUGUUUCUCCAUACGAUGACAGAGAAGUUGACGCUUACAUUUUUCCAUCGAUCAUUCUAACAGAAACACGUGUUGCGUGCGCAAAUACUUUAAUUUGGGUUUUAUAGUGAAGCUGCGCAAAAGGAGCUUACAUAGUUUGCAUUUGCAUUAGUGUGCCUGCCGCAUCGCCCGCUGCUUACGGAGGCUGUUUAAAAGGGACUUCCACAGAUUUUUUUUUAUAUAAAAGACGACAUUUGCGAAAAGUCUACUCUGCAGUUUACACUAUAAGUGAGGAGUUGAUACCAUCAACUGAGCUGUCGUUAUUUGCCGAGCAAUGUCCGUUGGGAGAUGAGUCCCGUACAAUGGAAAAUGUCGACAAUGAGUCCGUAGUAAUUUUGGAUAGUGAUGAACAGUUAAUUAAUUUAUUGUGUUCGUGGGAUUUGUCGUCAAAUGCAUUGAUACAGUUCAAUAGAUGUGGUUUAAAGAGUGUAGCAAUCGUCGAAGAGGUUUUAAAAGAAACAGUAGCAGGUAACGACAUAAUAAAGAAGUACGAAAACUGUGGUUGCCUCCAAGAUUGCCCAAUCUGCAAUAGUUCGCAUUAUUGUGGAUAAUUACUUAAUACGUGAUAUUAAAAUGACCCCGAUCACCAUGAAAACUGUUGCCGAACAGAUUGUCAAACUGUUUUCUAAAGAACAAGAAUCGGUGUAUUACGUACCCAGGACAAACAAAUUACUCGAAGAUUCGCAAAGUGUACGUAAUAAAGAUAGUUAUUCAAAGUAAUUGAAAUGUUGUAGCAAAGAACUAAAUUCGGUCAAAGCAAAUUCUAUUUGGAACAGCCUAUCUUAUUUUCAUGUCACAGACAAUAUGGCUUGUGAUUUAAUGCACGACAUAUUUUUAGGAGUCGCUCGAUAUAAUAUUCCAAAAGUUCUAGAUUAAUUCAUAUAUUAGAAGAAAUAUUUUUCUUUGGAAGCGUUUAACUAUAGAAAACAAUUAUUUGCUUAUGAUCCAUCUCACGUCAAAAGUUUAAGUAAUCCUUUAACGAAGGCUCAAAUUAAGACUAACAAUAUUAAAAUGAACGCUUCUGAAAUGAAACUUUUUUUGAAUACUAUUUUGUUAAUGAUUGGGGAAUAGAUGAAUUUGAUUCAGUAUAUAAAUUUUUAAUAACGUUUAUUAAAAUUGUUGAUAUUGUUAUGUAUGAGGAGUUCAGUGACGAUAUUUUGAAUGAGCUACGUGCUUUAAUUGUCGAUCACCAUACAUACGUAUGAUUUUUUUGAAAAAUAUACACAUUACCUUGUGAUCAAAACCAAGUGGAUGGUAAUAUUUUAUAUAUUUAAAAUAUAUUUUAUACCAAUUUACAUUAAAGCUUUAAACUUUGUGUAAUAUUUAUUAAAAUAAAAAUAUAUGUAUGUAUGUCACUUUUGUAAACUUUACUCUGUAUAUUCUCAAAUAAAAUAUAUUUUUUAUGAAAAAAGUAAA